UUGAGCAGAAGAUCCUGGCAACAUGGUGCGCACCUAGGGAUUUAGGGAAGCCACUCUAGCACUCUGGCAUUGAUUAUCCUGGCAGGAGACAGAUGACAUCAGUUACUGGAGUUCCCUGCUACAAUGGAGAUACGGCCAAGGCAAAAGCAAGCAGCAGAGAUGAGCCAGGGAGGAGGAGAGAGGCUGCAUUUCAUGAUCCGGUCAAAACCAGCCAUGGCACCCAGACAAGGUGCUCUGCAGCUUUCAAAGUGCAUCACAUCCAUUAUCUUCUGUGACCCACAGACAGGUCAGCAAAGCUGGCUGGUGUGAGGUCACCAAGCCCCGUGCAGGUUGCUCCUCACAUACCUCUUGCAUCCACUCCUUCUUCUCCGUCGCAUGCCACUGCCCUUGUCAUCUCUCACGGGGCUGUUGCAAUAGCUUCCUGCCUGUUUCCCUGCUCCCAGCCUGCGCCCUCUGUCCCCUCUUGCUGCCUGAGUGAUCUUUCUGCACUGCAAAUUUGUUCAUCCUACACAGUAGGCUUAACAGCCUCCAACGGCCCCCAGCAGGUACAGAAUAAAGUCCCAACUCCUUUGCA